GCAAGUGGCGGAACUGGCAGACGCAGUGGAUUUAAGCUCCACUAUCCAUAGGAUGUGAGAGUUCAAGUCUCUCCAGGUGUA
rnacentral:tRNA from 1 species